rnacentral:sRNA from 1 species
ACGACCUGGCUGUGACAUCUGUUACUCCAUUGAUUGCUAGGAUUGACUCAGCUACUCUGGCUAGCGAAGGGGUGUCUCCUUCACU